AGCAAGAGUAAGAAGUAUUGGCAGCAGCAAGCAGGCGGGCAGGCUGAGAUCUUGCGUGCAAAGCAUGAACUCUCUCUUGCUUUUCGUUUUUGAAACGUUUUGGGAGGAGAGUUAUGAAUAGCCCAGAAAUAGGUCUCAUUUUAUGGGUAGGAAGAAUGACCAGAAGCAUGAAAGCUAAAUCUCCUAGCAAGUGCAGGGUACCACUCUUGGACUGUGCAGUAAACCCAAGGGGAGGACUUUGCCUGCUGUGAACUCCUGAACCGUCACAUCUAGAGUGAAGGGGCUGGUGAAGCUUUGUAAUAAAUGCAAAGGAUGCUGCCGAGAGAGCUUUGGUCUGCCUUUAACUCAUUGUGGCAAAGUUGGACAUCCCAAAGAUGGCAUAGAUGAACAUGACCAGGAAAAGCAGGAGGCCGAUGUUGAACAGGGCAGGAAGGGACAUCAUCAGAGCAAAGAGCAGUGUGCGGAUCCCCUUGGCGCCUUUGAUCAGGCGUAGGAUUCGUCCAAUCCUGGCCAGGCGUAUGACUCGGAACAGGAUGCUACUUUCGGUCUUUACUGAGAAACUGCUCUUGCCAGUGAAAGGUAGUGAAUGAAGAGAUGCUUGGCUGCUGAAGACACUGAGAAUGACAGCUGGGUGCUCAGCUCAGAUGGACAUUCAUAUCCUUCUCCAAGGUUCUAGGAACAAAGCUGUGGUAGUGACAGGAAGAGUGUGAGAGCCUAGAAGACAGGGAUGGGAGCUAUGAAAUUCUGUGCUGUACUAACAACACAAUCGAUGCAAUCAUGACAUUAUGGAAGCAGAGGCCAGCAGUAGGCUUGUGCAAGACCGAGUCUGUCAGCAUUCAUUCAUAUAUAUGGAGAGCCUUUGUAGCCACAUCCUGCUGAAUUAUGAGCUACUGAUGGAUUCUGUACGAGGGGCAGACAUUGUCUUCAGCACCAGGCUAAACUUCUUCGAUGUUGGCCUGGUUCUGUUCCUCGUACGCCAUGGCUACCACAGCCAGGAUCAAGUUUAUCAGAUAAAAGGAGCCCAGAAAAAUCACCACGACAAAGAAAAUCAUGUAGGUUUUGCCAGCAGCACGCAGAGUCUAUGGGAUCAAAAAAGAGAAAUGGUUAUUUUAGUAAUACAAAAAUUUCACUAAGGUUUUUUAUUGUGGUUGGUAUAUAAUGAACAUGUAAACCAGAUAUUUUUCAUUUAAUUGUGUUAUAGACAGAUAAAUGAACAUGCUAUCUUUGAAGAAAAUCAGUAUUAAACAUUUUAGUAUAAAAGAUACAGCAAUGUUAUAUCUAUACUAAGGUUUGAUUUUUCAUUAGAAUGAAAUAUAAU